GUGCUUGCUUUGGCAGCAUAUACACUAACAUUAGAACACAGAGAUUAGCAUGGCCCCUGUGCAAGGAUGACAUGUAAAUUCGUGAACCCUUCACUAUUUUU
rnacentral:snRNA from 1 species